GAAAAACACUAGUAUAGUACUGCACACUAUUAUAGUGUUUAUUAAUAUAUUAAAUUAAAAUGUUAUAUUUACUUUUUAUUUUAAUGUUAGUUAAAAGUUCUAUUAAAUUUGUUGUGCAUUUUUGUUAUUUUUAUAAAAUUAUUUAGUUAUUUUGAGUACAUCAAGUUAAACUAAAUUUUUUAAUUUGGGCUUAAGAAAUUCUAUUGAUAUGUGUGUGUGUGUGUGUGUGUGUGUGUGUGUCUCAGUCGGAGCAGCUGCAGAUGAAGCUCAUCCAGGAGAAAGAUCUCAACAAUCAGCUGGAGGGUGACAAGGCCAUCCUGGAGAGACAGGUGUGUGUGUGUGUGUGAUAAUAUAUUAAUAGAGUAAUUGAAAUUGAGUAUAUCUGCUGUACUGAUGCUGAUGCUGUGUUCAGCUGCGGGAUCUGCGCAGAGAGAUGGAGGAGCUGCAGAAUAACAGAGUGGAGGUGGACUCCAUCAACAGAGCCGAGAUCAAAGCCAGAGAACUGGAGAACACACUGAGAGCCGAGGAGAGGAGUAAAGUAGUGAUGAGCAACACCAUCAGCAAACUGGAGAAGAAGAUCCUGGAGCUGACGGAGCAGAUGGAGGAGGAGCACAAGAUCUCCAGCGAGCAGAGAGAGCUGAUGAAUCAGCGAAUCCGUUCACUGAAGCGGCAGCUGAACGAGGCAGAGGAGGAGGCGAGUCGACGGGACGUCCAGCACCGAAUGACACACAGAGAACUGAUGGAGGAGAGAGAGACUAACAGCCGUCUGCAGAGACAAGUACUGGACCACCAGCUGCAGAACAAGAGGAAAGAGUCCAGACACACUCUUGAAAGCCUGAAUCUGAACCUGAGUGAGGAUGAUGUUGGUAAAGAAGAGGAAGAGAAGCAACAGAGUGAGUCCCAACCCACAGAGAAGCAGAUCACUCAGGUGUGACUGGACCCCAGCCAAAUCCCCCUGUAAACCUGCUGUUUCCCCUCAACUAUCAAAGACUUCAAACCAAAACAUUCACACAAACUACUUGAGUCCAGGUCUCAUGAGAGAGACCGGAUCCAGAGAUGCUCUGCGUGAACAGGAAGUGGAAAACACUGUGGGAAAGCUCUUUCCUGUGGACUGACACUCUUAGGGUUUUAUUGAGAAGCUCUUUCAGGAGACUCUGCCAAACCUGGUUACAGUAAGCUACCGCGUGCAUUAGUUCUCUAUCAAGCUCUCCUUUCUGUUUCUGUUGUUAUUUUCAGUUCAAUCAGCCGUUUACAUUAUGCAUAUAUUAAUAUAAUGGAGAUUAUGAAGUGAUGAAGUGUUUGAGAUUGAUUUGCAUGCGUUCAGCGAUCAGGACAGCUGAUGUAUGGACCUGUGCUGAUUGUAUUCUGCUGAAGGUUUUUAGGGAAUCCUGUUUAUUAAGUGUUGAUGAUGCUGUGUGUCUCUGAAACACAGCAGCAGUUUCUGCUCCAGGGUGUUCAUGUGUACUACCGCAUGGUAAUAAAAUAUUAUAAACCAAGAUGUUUUUUUUUUUGGUCUAUAACUUAAAAUACUGGCAUUAACUGUCAAUUAAUAAAAUGACAAAAACGUUUAGUUUAUGUCUCACUUGUCAGAGAAUACAAGUCAUAAUUGUUGCAUUUUAAUAAUAUAUAUAAAUAUAUAUAUAUACUGUAUAUUGAUGAAAAAAGCUGUUAUUUUGAAAUGUAUUUUAGUAAAAAAAAAAAAAAAAUUUAAUUGUAUGUGUAUUUUGAAAAAUACAUAUUGAAGUAUAUUUUAAAAUGCAUUUGAGAAUUCUAUAUAUUCAUCAUUCAGAAAUGGACCAUUCAAACUCGAGAUGAUUUUUUCCUCUUUAUUCUUUAGUAACAUGUUGCACGCAUAACAAAAAAUAAACGCUCUCAAAGGAAACCGAAGAGUUAAUUUUUUUAACCGGUUGUGUUGUUUUCUGUACCGUGAUGCAGUAAAAGAGUCGGGCAGCGUUUCAUUGGUCAGUAGAUCUUUACAGGCACGAGGAGAGAAAACCCUUCAGUGUAAACGUCAAGAGAACAACAUC
rnacentral:lncRNA from 1 species